GGUGAGUAUAUAUCGGAACGUACCCAAGAGUGGGGGAUAACGUAGCGAAAGUUACGCUAAUACCGCAUACGAUCUACGGAUGAAAGCAGGGGACCUUCGGGCCUUGUGCUCCUGGAGCGGCCGAUAUCUGAUUAGCUAGUUGGUAGGGUAAAGGCCUACCAAGGCGACGAUCAGUAGCUGGUCUGGGAGGACGACCAGCCACACUGGAACUGAGACACGGUCCAGACUCCUACGGGAGGCAGCAGUGGGGAAUUUUGGACAAUGGGCGCAAGCCUGAUCCAGCAAUGCCGCGUGAGUGAAGAAGGCCUUCGGGUUGUAAAGCUCUUUUGUCAGGGAAGAAACGGUCGUGGCUAAUAUCCAUGGCUAAUGACGGUACCUGAAGAAUAAGCACCGGCUAACUACGUGCCAGCAGCCGCGGUAAUACGUAGGGUGCAAGCGUUAAUCGGAAUUACUGGGCGUAAAGCGUGCGCAGGCGGUUUUGUAAGUCUGACGUGAAAUCCCCGGGCUCAACCUGGGAAUUGCGUUGGAAACUGCAAGGCUGGAAUCUGGCAGAGGGGGGUAGAAUUCCACGUGUAGCAGUGAAAUGCGUAGAGAUGUGGAGGAACACCGAUGGCGAAGGCAGCCCCCUGGGUCAAGAUUGACGCUCAUGCACGAAAGCGUGGGGAGCAAACAGGAUUAGAUACCCUGGUAGUCCACGCCCUAAACGAUGUCUACUAGUUGUCGGGUUUUAAUUAACUUGGUAACGCAGCUAACGCGUGAAGUAGACCGCCUGGGGAGUACGGUCGCAAGAUUAAAACUCAAAGG
rnacentral:rRNA from 1 species